UUGCAUGUGGAAAUACCUCUCCUCAUUCUCUUUGGAGCAGGAAUACAUCCAGAACAUGCUACAUUAAAAGAGGAGUUCUCAGGGCUGCCAACCUUACAGUAGAGGUUGAGUAGUAGUAUAUUUCUCCUACACAA
ensembl:snoRNA Gm25663 small nucleolar RNA U109